GCGCCCGUAGUUCAAUUGGAUAGAACGCUUGACUACGGAUCAAGAGGUUGGGGGUUCGACUCCUCCCGGGCGUACCA
rnacentral:tRNA from 1 species